GGAGGAGCACCGCUAAAUCAACAGGUUUGUAUUAUUUUGUUUUCCUUUUCUCCACCAUGAGCCUUUUUCUCUGUUAGGGGUUGGUGCCUUGGUGGUGGUGAUAUCUCCUAUUAUAUUUAAACUGGUUAUAUACUUUCUUCUAAUGCCAUAUCUUGAUUGAUGAUGUUUGAUUUUGUCUAUUGGACAUUUAUGUUGGAUGUGUGAAACUGAACUCUUGACCUUUUCCUGUUGUGGGAACAAGAAGUGGCUUCCAUUUAUGUCGGUUUAAUACAAUUCAGAUUCUUGAUAUUUUGUUCUUGUGCUAUUGCAUAUUUGCUGAGUUAUGAUCUGUUUCAUGGAUUACUCUCUAGUUCACUCUUUUCUCCCUUUGUGUACUUGUCUUGAUGAAUUUUGUUCUUAGAAGUCAUGGUUGCUGUUAUGUGGCUGUACUUAUUGUACACUUCCAC
rnacentral:misc_RNA from 1 species